ensembl:piRNA 21ur-230 ncRNA
UUCCGUAAUGUUGUAUUUUCC